CACUUGGAAAUUUGUCUAACUUACAUUCUUUAGAUUUGUCACAAAAUAUUUUAUCAGGACAAAUCCCUUCUAGUCUGGGAAAUUUGAAAAAUUUGACUCACUUCAAUGUCUCUUAUAAUAACCUUUCUGGGGCUAUUCCUUUGGUACAAAGCAUCCAAGGAUUUGGAUCUUCAGCCUUUUCAAAUAAUCCAGGCCUCUGUGGUGCUCCAUUGGAGACAUCAUGUGCACCCAAUGGCACCAAAACUGAAACAGGAAAGCCAAAGUUGAGCCCUUCAGCCAUUGUUGCUAUUGUUGCAGCUGCUGUGAUCCUCACAGGUGUCUGUGUGAUAACAGUGAUGAACAUCAAGACUCGCAGGGGGAGACGAGAAGAUGAAGCAGUGGUUGUAGUAGAAAGCACUCCACUGGCAUCAACAGAUUCAAAUGUCAUAAUCGGAAAGUUGGUUCUGUUCAGCAAGGCUUUGCCCUCAAAGUAUGAAGAUUGGGAGGCUGGUACUAAAGCAUUGCUGGAUAAGGAGUGUCUAAUUGGUGGGGGUUCCAUUGGAACAGUGUACAAAACUACUUUUGAGGGUGAGAUCUCUAUUGCUGUGAAGAAGCUUGAGACCUUGGGAAGAAUCAGAAACCAAGAUGAGUUUGAGCAAGAAAUUGGAAGAUUGGGAAAUCUUCGACACCCAAAUCUUGUUGCUUUCCAAGGUUACUAUUGGUCCUCCAGUAUGCAGUUAAUUUUAUCUGAAUUUGUUCCAAAUGGAAAUCUGUAUGAUAAUUUACAUGGGCUUAGUUAUCCUGGAACCAGCACCGGUGCUGGUAAUCCUGAAUUAAACUGGUCAAGGAGGUUUCAGAUAGCCUUGGGUACUGCCAGAGCCCUAGCCUACCUUCAUCAUGACUGCAGACCUCCUGUUCUUCAUCUCAAUGUCAAGUCCACUAACAUUCUCCUUGACGACAACUAUGAAGCUAAAUUGUCCGACUAUGGUUUGGGGAAGUUACUUCCUCUGCUGGACAAUUUUGGGCUAACCAAUUUUCACAAUGCAGUUGGUUAUGUUGCACCUGAGUUAGCUCAAAGUCUCAGACUAAGUGAUAAAUGUGAUGUUUACAGUUUUGGCGUAAUUAUGUUAGAAUUAGUUACUGGAAAGAAACCUGUGGAAAGCCCGGCAGCAACUGAGGUGGUGAUUUUGUGUGAAUAUGUUAGGGAUUUGAUAGAAAGGGGUACUGCUUCAGACUGUUUCGAUAGAAGUUUGCGUGGUUUUGCAGAAAACGAGCUGAUUCAGGUUAUGAGAUUGGGAUUAAUUUGUACUUCUGAAGUGCCUACCAGGAGGCCAAGCAUGGCUGAGGUAGUUCAGUUUCUUGAGUCCAUCAGAAAUGGUUUAGGCUUAUAGCAAGUCAACAGAAAGAACUGUUGGACAACCAUGGCAUUCAGAGUACAUGUGGGGUGAUUAGGAGUUUAACUUUUUCAGUAUAAAGAUACAAAAGAUUCUUUUGUAUUCAUUUUGUGAUUCAUCAUCAUCAAUUGUUCCCUGUAAUUCUGCAAUAAAUUCAUUCGUUUUUUUAUCAUCUCUCGAUGCAAUCAGAGAAGAGUUUGUAGCAACUCAUUCUCUUCCAUCUGCUUUUAACUCAGCAUUUCUAUACUGGUACAUAAACUGCUUUCCUAGACUCCUAAUAUCAAUACUAACAUCUUCUUAAGCCGAGGGUUACCAGCUUCUUCACUGGGAUAUAUGUUUUUAUCUCAUUGCCCUGUGGAUUUAGUUCCAAGAAUACGUAGGCAAGGAAGAUGCUAUUUGCUGCAAAAUGCUCCGUUUCUGCAUCAAGCUUGAAGAUGUCAAUUUAUAGUGAAGAAAUGAAAGCGCUUGGUUGUUUUUAUCAUAUUUGGUCAUCCCGUGGACACCAGAAUUUCCACUACUUUGAGUGAGAAGGAGAUAGUAAUUAAUCACUUUAACUCAAUUGUUGCACAAAAUUGAUUGCAGAGGAAAGAGAGUGACAUAACCAAUUCUCUGUCCUAGACAAAUGUAAGAGUUCUUCUAAACUUAUUAUUACUACCAGAAAAAGGUCGUGACUUGCUUUUUGCAUCAGCAUUAAAUGACCUAUUUACAAUUUCAGAUAUUUAAGGCAAAUAAACUCUUCGAUUUUGCAAUAGCAGAAUGAAGAAACCUACUAAGACACAUCAAGGCCUUGUAGACACUCAGCUCAUGAGUACAUGAUACUGUUCAGGCGUGCCAGAAAUGUUUUGACUCCGAGUUCCUGCCAGAACUGUUCCUGUCAGCUCAUGAGUAUCUCCAUCUCUGAAAUGAACGGAAGACACUUCAUCUUUAAACAGCCAGAACUGCAGACAAAACCAGAUCAUCAAAUGCAGCACGGGUCUCCAAUUCUAAGUUCCUCCACCAAUUGUUCCCAAACAAUCUGAUAUCUUCAAAUCAUCCCUCAAUGAUUCCCCUCAUCUGGUCUGGUUCUGACGUAGCCUGAAACUCACAGAAUUCUACAAGAGGACAUCCUCCAAAGAAAUUGUAGGGUUUUGAUUCUUUAGCUGAAUGAGCAAAGCAAUAUCAACUCAACUACGAGAUUUACAGAUUUCAGAAACUUUCCUAAUACGAUCCAUGACUACAGGAAUAUCAUUUUCGCUCAGGGUGGUGAAGCAUAAUCUGAACCAACCAGGUUCAAUACAGUGACAGGAAGAUCCGGGAGUAACAUUAACCUUACCCACACUCAAAAGCUUAUCCCAAAGCUCAAGUUCUCCUUUUUCAUUAUAAGAUCUGAUUAGCCCACUCAUGUCCAUCCAACAGUAGAAACCUCCAUUACUCUUCAUGCACUCAAUUCCCAACUGCUUUAGUCCGGUAACAAAUGCAUUGUACAUCCUUUCAAGUCUUUCCCGAUUAUUCUUCAUAAACAAGUGGAUGAAUUUUGUGUCUGCCAGCAUUGAGAUAAGCAAACGCUGGCUUGGAGCUGAAAUGGAUGAAAAUCUUGCCAACUUUUUAGCAGCAGCCAAAACAUUCUCAUUAAAAGUAUAAAUAACUCCAACCCUAAAGCCUGGAAGAGAGAGAUCCUUCGAAAGACCAUACACUAUAUGGACUCUUGUCCGAUCAAAAUCUUCAGAAUCAAUUAUCUCUGCCAAACUGACAAAAUCUUCACUUCCAUGAGUGGAUCCUGCCAAUAUUUCAUUGGAAAUGAGGUGAAUAUUCUUCUCUGUUGCAAAGUCCAAAAGACUAUAAAGUGUCUCUCGAUUGAACAAAUUGCCCACAGGAUUUGAAGGGUUCGAAAUUAUGAUCCCACGAACUUUAAGCCCCCGUUUCCUUGCUUGGUUAAAGGUUCGAUCAAGAGCAGUAGUACUCAGACAGAAAUUGUCAGCACUGCGGCAAGGUAUGGGUAUAAUUUCGACACCUGUUCGCCAUUUUACAUCCCUGUCAAGACUGGACCAUAACUUAUGACAUCAGUGCCUGGACAAAAGAAGCUGAUGACCAGAGAUAAAUAUUCUGUGAACAGUCAAUUAAUCUUACUCGGGAUAAUAUGGUGAUGGAACAAGAAAUGCAUUUCCAGGAUCAGCUAAGCAGAAACUGAGAAUUUCAAUUGCAGGGGUUGCACCAGCUGUCAAAACAAUUUGUGAAGGGUUGAAGGAUACUGAUUUGUCCAUUACUUGAGACAUGAAUCCAGCUACUGCCUAUAAGACUAGUGAAAUCAGCAUAUACAGCAACAAGAUAAAAAGCAAGUCCAAGCACCGUACACAUGAUUGCAAGUCAGCUAAUUGAAGAGACAAAUUGGAUAUCCUAAUAGCUGGAAGCUAUAAGAGCUACGCCUAGAGCCAAAAGUAAGCUAUAAGAGCUACGCCUAGAGCCAAAAAGUCAAACUUUAUCCGAGUCCAUGUUAAUAGUAACCUGUGGACUUAUUGCCCGAAUAAUUACGUUUAAGACUCCAAAAGUGGCAGGGGGAGAGAAAGUGCUACUACAAGAAGCAGAAACAUAUUCAAAACUAUCAUCUUUUAACUAAAGUGAGUUAGCAACUAGUGUUCAUUAAGCACAUCUGUCAAUAUCAUAAUUAUGCAGACACAGUACUUUGGUUAGGACACUCAGUAAUGUCAAAGCCAUUAUUUACAAGUGACAAGUCACAUACAACAAAUUGUAGUGACCAAACUUGUAAUUCAUUGUUUGAAAACCACAAUUGAUGGGACCAUUCCAAAAGAAUUUGGGAGUAUUGAAUGGCUCCAAGCUCUGGAUCUGCAUAAUCUGGGCAUCAGUGGUGAGAUACCAGAUGAGAUAACCAACUGCAGAUUUCUUCGUGAGCUGUGAGUCCAAUUUUUCUAUCCAAUUCUCUGUCUAAAUUAUCCAUAUUGCUUUCACUCUGUGUUUGAAUGGACUUUGUAAUGUUGCUGCAGGGAUGUUUCUGGAAACUCGUUACGGGGCAGCAUACCGCAAAACCUCUACAACAUGUCAUACCUUGUAAUUCUUGACCUACGUAGCAACCAGCUUAAUGGGAGCAUACCAUCCACACUUGGAAAUUUGUCUAACUUACAUUCUUUAGAUUUGUCACAAAAUAUUUUAUCAGGACAAAUCCCUUCUAGUCUGGGAAAUUUGAAAAAUUUGACUCACUUCAAUGUCUCUUAUAAUAACCUUUCUGGGGCUAUUCCUUUGGUACAAAGCAUCCAAGGAUUUGGAUCUUCAGCCUUUUCAAAUAAUCCAGGCCUCUGUGGUGCUCCAUUGGAGACAUCAUGUGCACCCAAUGGCACCAAAACUG
rnacentral:lncRNA from 1 species